rnacentral:rRNA from 1 species
AUUGAACGCUGGCGGCAGGCCUAACACAUGCAAGUCGAACGGUAGCACAGAGAGCUUGCUCUCGGGUGACGAGUGGCGGACGGGUGAGUAAUGUCUGGGAAACUGCCUGAUGGAGGGGGAUAACUACUGGAAACGGUAGCUAAUACCGCAUAAUGUCGCAAGACCAAAGUGGGGGACCUUCGGGCCUCACACCAUCGGAUGUGCCCAGAUGGGAUUAGCUAGUAGGUGGGGUAAUGGCUCACCUAGGCGACGAUCCCUAGCUGGUCUGAGAGGAUGACCAGCCACACUGGAACUGAGACACGGUCCAGACUCCUACGGGAGGCAGCAGUGGGGAAUAUUGCACAAUGGGCGCAAGCCUGAUGCAGCCAUGCCGCGUGUAUGAAGAAGGCCUUCGGGUUGUAAAGUACUUUCAGCGAGGAGGAAGGCAUUAGGGUUAAUAACCUUGGUGAUUGACGUUACUCGCAGAAGAAGCACCGGCUAACUCCGUGCCAGCAGCCGCGGUAAUACGGAGGGUGCAAGCGUUAAUCGGAAUUACUGGGCGUAAAGCGCACGCAGGCGGUCUGUCAAGUCGGAUGUGAAAUCCCCGGGCUCAACCUGGGAACUGCAUUCGAAACUGGCAGGCUAGAGUCUUGUAGAGGGGGGUAGAAUUCCAGGUGUAGCGGUGAAAUGCGUAGAGAUCUGGAGGAAUACCGGUGGCGAAGGCGGCCCCCUGGACAAAGACUGACGCUCAGGUGCGAAAGCGUGGGGAGCAAACAGGAUUAGAUACCCUGGUAGUCCACGCCGUAAACGAUGUCGACUUGGAGGUUGUGCCCUUGAGGCGUGGCUUCCGGAGCUAACGCGUUAAGUCGACCGCCUGGGGAGUACGGCCGCAAGGUUAAAACUCAAAUGAAUUGACGGGGGCCCGCACAAGCGGUGGAGCAUGUGGUUUAAUUCGAUGCAACGCGAAGAACCUUACCUACUCUUGACAUCCAGAGGACUUAGCAGAGAUGCUUUGGUGCCUUCGGGAACUCUGAGACAGGUGCUGCAUGGCUGUCGUCAGCUCGUGUUGUGAAAUGUUGGGUUAAGUCCCGCAACGAGCGCAACCCUUAUCCCUUGUUGCCAGCGGUUCGGCCGGGAACUCAAAGGAGACUGCCAGUGAUAAACUGGAGGAAGGUGGGGAUGACGUCAAGUCAUCAUGGCCCUUACGAGUAGGGCUACACACGUGCUACAAUGGCAUAUACAAAGAGAAGCGACCUCGCGAGAGCAAGCGGACCUCAUAAAGUAUGUCGUAGUCCGGAUUGGAGUCUGCAACUCGACUCCAUGAAGUCGGAAUCGCUAGUAAUCGUAGAUCAGAAUGCUACGGUGAAUACGUUCCCGGGCCUUGUACACACCGCCCGUCACACCAUGGGAGUGGGUUGCAAAAGAAGUAGGUAGCUUAACCUUCGGGAGGGCGCUUACCACUUUGUGAUUCAUGACUGGGGUGA